rnacentral:misc_RNA from 1 species
AUUUCAACCCUCAGGCCGUAUGGUCUGGUGCUGGGGCAUCUACGAGUUUGUAGGCCCUGAAAUAUAGUGGCGGGCUUGCGAAGACCCCGAGCGUAGUAAUUACACAAUCGCUUAGGGCGUCUAGCGGGCUUACUUGCCGUUAAACCCCCCAAAUUCUAAUGGUUGACCUCGGAUCAGGUAGGAAUACCCGCUGAACUUAA